rnacentral:rRNA from 1 species
CCCUUAGAUGUCCUGGGCCGCACGCGCGCUACACUGAGUGUCUGAGAUACGAGUCUGCCUGGUCCGGCAAGGUCUAGGUAAUCGCUAAAAGACACAUCAUGCUUGGGAUAGAUUAUUGCAAAUAUUAAUCUUGAACGAGGAAUUCCUAGUAAGCGCAAGUCAACAGCUUGCGUUGAUUACGUCCCUGCCCUUUGUACACACCGCCAGUCGCUACUACUGAUUGGAUGUUUAAGCGAGGUUCUCGAACUGCUAGCGACUUAGCUUCGGUGAGGUCGCAGUGUGGGAAGUGAACCGAGCUUUGGUGUCUAGAGGAAGUAAAAGUCGUAACA